rnacentral:lncRNA from 1 species
CUGGCUGGACCGUGAGCGUUCUUGACAUCAAAGACAUGGUAUACAAUUCCUUCCCUUGUUCAUAUGAGCUUUAUGCCAUGUCGUCCUUCUGUGCAUAUGAAUGUAUCUUGUUGGUUUGAACUCCAUAUGUAGGUGUUUCAAGCUUUAGAAAUCUUCAAGGUCGAACAUUCAGGCAAGCCAUUCACAUUUACCCAUUGCUGGACCAUGAUUUGCGAGUGCCAAAAGAUUAAGGAGACAUAUGCGUCCUAAAAGAAAGGUGAGGGACUUCAUUGGUCGUUGAGCCAAGUGAAAGUGAGAAGCGGUCGAGAGGGAAGACCAAUUCCAAGGUGAUUCGACACUUGCCUUCAAUAAACUUUAAAGCGGACCCAAAGGAGAUGGCAAUUGAGAAGAGGGAAGAGAGGAAGUGCCUAGAGAAGGAGGAGGCAAGGAAGGCUCAAGAUUGGUGAGACCAAUGCCCGGUCACGAGCAAACGAGAUAAAGCUUGCCCUAAUCAUGAAGAAAGUGGAGAUCAUGGCGGCCGACAUGUGCAAGACCCCAAGAAGAAGGGUUUGGUUCGAGACAAAGCAGAAGGAGAUGCUCGAGCUAGAUGCGUGAUCAUGUUUGGCCAAGAUGCAUGAACUACAAC